UUGCUUCCGCAGCACAUACCCUAACAUUGAAAUGAUGCAGAGAGGAUUACUAUGGCCCUCACACAAGGAUGACAUGUAUUCAUGAAGUGUUCCAUAUUUUG
ensembl:snRNA U6 U6 spliceosomal RNA